rnacentral:rRNA from 1 species
UACGUAGGGGGCAAGCGUUGUCCGGAAUCAUUGGGCGUAAAGCGCACGUAGGCGGACUGCUAAGUCGGACGUGAAAGCCCUCGGCUUAACCGAGGAAGUGCAUUCGAAACUGGCAGUCUUGAGUACGGGAGAGGGUCGCGGAAUUCCCGGUGUAGAGGUGAAAUUCGUAGAUAUCGGGAGGAACACCAGUGGCGAAGGCGGCGGCCUGGACCGAUACUGACGCUGAGGUGCGAAAGCGUGGGGAGCAAACAGG